CUGCAAGAAAAAAAUAAGUAAAUUAAGAAUUGCAGCUGAAUAAAAUGAUAAACUUAAAGUUUCCUUGUUCUAAUAUGAUUCUUAUUAUCAACACCGUCCAGCUUAUGUUAAAACAAUUGAUUAAAAUUAAAAUAUGAGAGAGAGAAAGAGAAAUCAUCACUCCAGUAGUUAUAUGGAACAACAACAAUUACGCCUCAAUCCCAAGCUAAAUAU
rnacentral:lncRNA from 1 species